UGGGGAAUAUUGGGCAAUGGGCGAAAGCCUGACCCAGCAACGCCGCGUGAGGGAAGAAGGGUUUCGGCUCGUAAACCUCUGUCCUAUGGGACGAAGAAGAUGACGGUACCAUAGGAGGAAGCCCCGGCUAACUACGUGCCAGCAGCCGCGGUAAUACGUAGGGGGCGAGCGUUGUCCGGAAUGAUUGGGCGUAAAGGGCGCGUAGGCGGCCUAUUAAGUCUGGAGUGAAAGUCCUGCUUUCAAGGUGGGAAUUGCUUUGGAUACUGAUGGGCUGGAGUGCAGGAGAGGAAAGCGGAAUUACCGGUGUAGCGGUGAAAUGCGUAGAGAUCGGUAGGAACACCAGUGGCGAAGGCGGCUUUCUGGACUGAAACUGACGCUGAGGCGCGAAAGCGUGGGUAGCAAACAGGAUUAGAUACCC
rnacentral:rRNA from 1 species